UACGGGAGGCAGCAGUGGGGAAUAUUGGACAAUGGGCGAAAGCCUGAUCCAGCAAUGCCGCGUGAAUGAUGAAGGCCUUAGGGUUGUAAAGUUCUUUCGGGUGGGACGAUGAUGACGUACCACCAGAGAGCCCGAUUGCG
rnacentral:rRNA from 1 species